AUGCUCGUGUCGGCAGCACAUAUACUAAAAUUGGAACACUACAGAGAAAAUUAGCCCGGCCCCUGAGCAAGGAUGACACGCAAAUUUGUGAAGCGUUCUGUAUUUAA
rnacentral:snRNA from 1 species